UGCGCGCUCCUCGCCCGUGCGUCUCGUCGCUGCCGCCCCGCAAGCACUGACUACAUUUCAAAAGCUCAACAGUUAACCCCUUGUCCGUGGCUGCUGCAUCGGGUCUGCACUGUUGUGUGAAAACAGCAGGAAAUAAAUCAGUAGAUUCUGCAUCAAGUGCUACAUCGCCACACCUCAGUGUACUGGAACCUGCCACUCGGCCAUCAAUUAAGCCCUGGAUACAGCUGUCGAUGUUGCAGAAGUCAGGACAAGGUACGAACGAAGCUAAGAUGUUCCCGGAGUGCAAGCUAAAUCUCUAAGGAUAUUUGACUGUCCCCUCGCCAAGGCCACUUAGGGACAGUGGCUGACUAAGCAGUGCAUCGGAGGUGCUGUGUGCCUGUUUUCUGAUAAAAUAGACACAGCAAGGAACAAGAGCAUACCCAGCCUUUUAGAACAAACUCUGAUGGUGCUCUCUCACACAUCUGGUGUGAGACCCCAGAUGAACAGUCCCUGGGUCCUUCCUGUAGACAGUGUGGCUUGUGCAAGGGCGCAGGUAUAAAGCCUGCCUAAAGAGCAGUGAGAGGAAGAGGUGUUCGCUUUGAGCUACCAUGUUUGGCAUCGCCUUCCUGAACAUAUCAGCAGGAGUUGCCGCAAGGUGUGCUGAAAGCGCUUUGUGCCAGCGCACGGUGCUGGAGGUGUAAGCCCACAUGACCUUGCCUUACACUUACCCAGGGGUUGGUGUUAUUGCCUGGGUGCAGCCAAGUUCUGUGAGACACAAAGUCUGUGAGACCUUGAGCCUAUCUUCUGUUGGGCCCUUGGGCCCACACCUCGGCACCUUAUUCACAGUCCUCUAGGGCAACAAGAACAUUUUCUGACAUGAAGAGGGUUAACACAGGUGUGAGAGAGAACUGCCAUAUGGCUUGCUCACAGAUAUGUUCAGCUAUUGUGGCUGUCUAGAGCGUCAUCAGGGGAGUCAGCAGGCCUGUCUGCGUGUUCUUGGAUAAUGCCUCUCCUCCCCUGGAGUGUUCCCUCGAGCUCCAGGACUGUGGGUUCAGUGUUAGCUGCGAGGAAUUUCAUGAAAGCAAGUUUAGAGCACUAAACUCAGUAUAAACUUGGUUAUAAACUUGAUUCUGAAGGGUAUUUGUUCCCAGGUAACAAUUCAUGGAGGGGCAGGGGGAGCUUUAUAUAGAGACUGGAUUCAAUCUCAACACUUCCAAUGCAACAUUCCAUUGCUGCUACCACAAACAAAUGGAAAAAAGCUCUCCCAGGUGAACCCCUGUCCUCCAUGGGAUCACACAGAGGCUUAAGGGCAUUUUCUUUCUUUUCUUUUUUUUUUUUAAGAUUUAUUUAUUCAUGCAUACAGGAACCAGGGUACAGGCCAGACACGCAGGAGGGUGAGAGGACUCACCAGAGACAGAGCAGGGAACAGAACAGGCAGACUGACCGAAAUACACUGCUGAAGGGAGCAGCGGGCGCGACAGGAGAAGUCUGCUGCUUCAUGUGGGCAUCUCCCCAGCUGGCCGGGAUCGAACUGGUGCUGCAGAGGCUGCGGACAGCUUCACAGCACUGCACUCAACCUGCGCCACCAGGGAGGCCUGUUGAGGGCAUUUUCAUGCCCAAAAAUAUCCCAGUUGAACACCUCCCUCUGCCCACUUGGGAUGGGAGGGACAAGGGAGUGGCAUCCCAUAGUAGCGGGCAGGGUCCUGAGAAGCCGAUAUGAGCCGUGAGUGAGGUAACUAACAGCUGUAUGUGGUCCUAGGGACAAGGAAGACGCUCAUUAGAGAGGCUCCAAAAACCAUCAGAGACAACGUUUUUGGUCCCAGUGUGUUUUCUUUAUUGAGGAUAUGUUACCACUUUAUGUGGCGCGAGCUGGUGGUCACACUUGUGGAUUAUGUGGCCCCACUAUCCAAAAACGGUAGUCAAGAGGGCACUGAGAAAGGCGGAGGAGGUAGCCUCUGCAGAAGGACCUGAAGGGAUGAAGAACCCUGGACAACUACUUACAGCAUUUCUUGGUUAGUGCAACAUCUGUCCAGCAGAGCUUUCUGGGACAAGGGGCAUGUUCUGUCAGAUUUAAUAACCACUAGCUCCAGGUGGCUUUGGGGCACUUGACAUGUGACUGGUACCACUAAAGAACUGAAUUUAAAAUUAAUUUUUAUUUUAAAUUUCACUUGUCACAUAAAACGAGUGGAUCCUUUUGUGUACUGCAUAGAUUUAGUGUACUGUGGUGGCUUUCACUAGUGUCAUGCAUUUGUUAGAAUGAAAGGACCAGUGUUGAUACAGUAUCACUAAGUAAAGUUACAGUUUAUUUACAUUUCUUUGUUUUUACUUCAUGUCCUUUUUCUCUUCCAGAGUGCCACCCAGGAUACCAUGUUACCUUUAGUUCUCUUCUCUUUGUCUUUUACUAUGUAAUUGAUACAAUGUAAUAGCUUGGUCAGUGUGUGUGUAUAUAUUGUGAAAUAGUUUCGACUUAGAGUAACAUCCAGCACCACCCUUAGUUACAAUAUAUUUUUUUCUUGUAAUGAGAAUUUUCCAUCUACUCUCUUGGUUGUCCUUUCUCUUUAGUCUCUUCUUGGCUGUAACAGAUUUUUACAUCUUCAGAUUGGGGUGGGGGGGAGAAGAAAGGCAUUCUGUGCCAUGAGAAAAUUAAAUGAAAGGCAAAUUUAGUGUCCAGCCAGCUUGACAGGAACACAGCGUGCCUGCUGUGUGUGCGUGGCUGCCGCUGCCUUCAAGCAACAACAGCAGAGGGAGAGGCCAGCCCCUCAGGUCUGUGCAAGCUGCACACACACAAGCCCUGCUCUCCUGCCACCAUUCUGGAAAUCUUCAGUCGAUGGGGGCCUGCAUUUUUAUCUUGCACAGGGCUCUGAGAAAUUAUGCAGCCCCUGUAGGCAGCAGAGGCCACAUGAUCCCAAAUGCCUAAUGUAUUUACUCUGGGUCCUUUUUAGGAAAAGUUUACUCUAGCGGGCAGAAGAGCAGCCCCCCAAAGCUGUCCACAUUCAAAUCCCCUGGAACCAGUGAAUGUAUUACCUCACCUGGCAAAGGUUCUCUGCAGUUGGGUUUAAGUUAAGGAUCUGGAAGUGGGGGAUUUUCCUGGAUGAUCCAGGUGGGACCAAUGUAAUCAAGUGUUCUGAUAAGGAGGCAGGAGGGUUGGAAUCAGAGGUGAGGUGACGGCUGGAAGCAAUGACUAGUGAUGCUUUACUCUGAAGAUGGAGGAAGGAGCCAGGAGCGAUGGGAUGUGGGCAGCCUCUAGAAGCUAGAAAAAGCAAGGAAGCAGACUCGCAGCUGCACCUCCGGAAGGAAUGCAGGCCUGCCCACACUUUGAUUCUCGCUUCAGACUCACUUCAGGCUGCUCACCUCCAGGACUUUAAGGUGAUAAACAUGUGUUGCUUAAGUCAGAAAGAUGUCACUACUUUGUUACCACAGCCACUUGCCUACUAAGCCUGCCUCAGGCAUUGGGCAUCUGUGGGGCAAGAGAGAAAGUGUCGGGCUUUUCCGCCCUCCUGUCAUUAGCAUCAAUGAUGGAUCCCUGCGGUCCUGCAUGCAUGCCUGAUGGCGGGCACCUGAAGUGGGUGUGGGCAUGCAUAAGUGGGCACACCUGGGCUUUUAAGGGUGGCAUCACAGGAACGGAACCAAGAGAAGAAGAGCAAGAGUAGCAGCACAGGCACGAGACAAGAACAGGAGUGCCAGAGGGCCCAGAAAGAGUGAAGAUUCGCCAGGGGCCCCUGCCCACCAUGUACUUGGCAAAAGCUCAGUGAAAGCCUGAAAAGGCCGCCAAGGCCCCCAGGACUCUACCCGUCUGCUCGAGCAUAGAGAGCCUGCUCUGUGCCUUCUGGGCACUAUAGCAUCUAAUUAAAUUUGCCUUUCACUCAAAGAGAAGAUUAAAUGUACUUUCUGCCCCGGGAUACUGCCGAGAGGCGCUGUGAGAGGCUGCAUCCCGCUGUCCUCAGGCCUCAGCCGGUCUCCUGAGGAGCAGGACAGCUGCGGAAGCUCUUCGUCGGAGAUUCCAGUUUUGAAGCAAGCAACGAGGCUGAGAAGCCGUUCUGAGCAGCGGGGAUGCUCACAGACUGCCAUGAGAGCCACGCACCCAGUGACCCAGAGGCCGCGGUAUCACCAAUGCCACUGCAGGAGGAGGCUGCCGCCACGAAGGCAGGGCCACGCAAGGUGGGCGGAGAGCCACGGAACCAAUCAGGGCAGCUGAUUGGGAGAAGAGUUGCCAAGACCCCACGCCCACGUCACCGUGAGAAAGAUUUUUGUUGGUGCCAUCGAUGAAAUCACCAAAGAACAUCACUUAGGAGGUGAUUCUCUGAGCAAUCGGGAAAACGGAAGUGAGGCCAUGGCAGGAGGAGGGGCUUUGCCAGACUCAGAAUGGCCACACUGUGCAGUCGGAGCAGCCCCGCCCACCCAGAGAUGGCCAGCGCGCUUCCUGCCAGAGGGCGAGGUGGCUCUGGAAACACGGAAGUCAUGGAGGAGGCUUUGGUGGGAAGGAUGACUUCGGUCAUCUGGCAACGUCAGUGGCUGAGGUGGCUUUGGUGGCAGCCGCGGUGGGGUGGAUGUGGUGGCGGUGGGGCUGGCUGCCGGAGAUCAUGAUGGAGGCAGUUCUGGAGGUGGUGGAAGCUGCAGUGAUUUUGGCAAUUACAACACCAGUCUUCAACAUUUGGGCCCGUGGAAGGAGGAAACUUUGGAGGCAGAAGGUGGAGGCUAAAACUGCCAAGCCACGAAACCAAGGUGAUUGUGGUGGAUCCAGCAGCAGUAGCUGUGGGCAGGGCCAGAAGGUUUUAAUUAACUGCCAGGAACAAAGCUUAGCAGGAGAGGAGGGCCAGAGAAGUGACGGGGGAGCGACACGUCACAACGGAUUUGUGAGCUCAGCCAAGCACGGCGGUGGCAGGGCCUCGCCGCUACAGAGAAGAUGUGUUUCAGACGAUACCCAGGUGUAUGGGCAGAAAACGCCAGGACUGCAUUGGUGGCCAGCGGCGUAACAGGUUAUUUUAGUUUCUGUUCUGUGGGGAAGGUAAAGCAUUCCAAUAAAGGGUUUUAUGUAGAUUUUUUUUUUCCACCUGUGCUGUUGACUGCUAGUAGUCUGAUCAUGAUGCUGAAAAAAUGUGUCUUAAAAAAAAAGUAAAGUAGGGCCUCCCUGGUGGCGCAAGGGAUUAAACACAGCACUAUAAGCAAUCCGCAGUCUCUGCAGCAUGAGUUCAAUCCCCCAGCUGGCCAGGGAGCUACCCACAUGGUGCAGCAGCCCUCUCCUGUCUCCCCACUGCCCCCCUCAGCAGUGGAUUUCAAUCAGUCCGCCUGUUCUGCUCCCUGCUCUGUCUCUGGUGAAUCCUCUCAUCCCCGUACCUCUGGCCUGUACCCCAGUUUUUGUAUGCAUAAAUAAAUCUUUAAAAAAUAAAAAUAAAUAAACUUUUAAAUGUCUUAUGUGAGUAUUUGCGGAUGGAUGGAUGGAUGGAUGGAUGGAAAGGGAACUGGGGCAAGGGUGGCGUACGAAUGUGAAAACAGGAAGAUGUCAUGGAGGGAGUUUGUUCCAGCUGCCCAGGGGAGAGAGCAGCGCAGAAUAGAGCGAGGGUUCCAGAUGUUGGAGAGUUGUGAGCGAUGGGAAUGGGUGACCAGUCACAUGGAGAGGGCAGAGACCUGAUUCAUCAGAUGCGAUGUGGGGGAAGCCAUGGCAUGAACUACAUAUAUGGGCGGGCAUUGAUUGAGGGACAAAAGCAGUGGACUUAAACAUCCAGUGAGCCACGCAUUGGUCAACAUCCAGAGACCAGGCGUCAAGUGCAGCAUAUGUGCUGUCAGAAAGCCUGGCAGGCCCGAGCAGGCCCAGGAGCCCCGGCCCUGGACUUCCAUGGGGCCAGCUUCAUCAGAUGCCAUCCCAAGGGCUGAGUAGGGCAUUGUGUAGGAAAUUAUGAAGCUUGCUUCUUCCUAA